rnacentral:lncRNA from 1 species
AGCAGCCUUUGGAUGAAGACAUAGAACUCUGAGCUCCUCCUUCGCCAUGCCUGCCUGGAUACUGCCAUGCUCCCACCUUGAUGAUAAUGGAUUCAACUUCUGUCUUAGUUAGGGUUUUACUGUUGUGAACAGACACCAUGACCAAGGCAAGUCUUAUUAAAAAACAACAUUUAAUUGGGGCUGGCUUACAAGUUCAGAGGUUCAGUCCAUUAUCAUCAAGGUGGGAGCACGGCAGUAUCCAGGCAGGCAUGGCGAAGGAGGAGCUGAGAGUUCUAUGUCUUCAUCCAAAGGCUGCUAGUGGAAGACUGACUUCCAGGCAACUAGGGUGAGGAUCUUACGCCCACACCCACUGUGACACACCCAUUCUAACCAGGUCACACCUAUUCCAACAAGGCCACACCUUCAAAUGGUGCCACUCCCUGUCCAAGGAUAUACAAACCAUCACAAUGGGUAUCUUUAUAUUUACAGUUAGGUUAAAAAGUCAGACUGAUUAUGCAAAUAACUAUUAUUUCUCUCCUUAGAAGACACUGGACUUUGCUUUCCACCCCUAACUUAGGGACUCGCGUAGAACAUAAUACUCUGUAGUGUGAAUAAGUAACAAACCCUUUCUUGCCCAGAGGUCAAUAUUUCAUCAGUCUCAACUUCCUGGAGCCCAGCCUGGAAUGUAGAAGUGAGCAAAUCAGACAAGAAGAGCUCAGUGUCCAAUCAAUGUAGCGAUGCCUUCUUUUCAUAGGCCACACAGAACUGUCCACUGACCCCAACUCACAAUUUAUCAUAACUCUUGUUACUUUUAACCAUAUCUGAAUAUGGACAAUGUCUAUAAGUAAUAUGGAAAUGCAUAAAAGGACUCAAAAGAGCAACCAUCACAGAUAAAGACCAGAAUGACUGAAACAUCAAAAAGUAGGGAAAGACAUCCAUGAGCACAAGAUUCAUCAGCAUCAUUUGAAAGAAUAAUACUUAGGACCAUUCACACUGGCAAGCUGUAGUAGCAUCAUUCACAAGGGUAACCCUUAACCCCUUUUGAAGGAUAUCCCUUAUCUCCAUUCAGAAGAGCACCAUUAACAAGGAUGUUCCACAGCCAUCAAGGAGGUAGGGUUUGCAUGCCCAAAGAUGAUACUCCAUGUUACAUUUGCCAUGUGUGUGCACUCUACAUAAGCACAAGCAGAUGGCUUAAUGAAGGCAAGAAUAUCUCACUAUUUAGCCCAAGUGGCCUGAAUACCUUGCUAUGUAGCCCAAGUUGAUGCUGAACUCAAUAUGGUCCCUGCCUAAGCCUCCUGAGUGCUGGGAGGAUGGUUAUGUAUUACCUUGUCUGGAAACAAUGUAUAUUUAAGGACAGCCAUGAAGAAGGAUGACCUUUAUUCUCUCUACUGAGGACAAGAACAAGACUCUUUGGUGGAAGUUUGUGGAAGAGGUGUGGCCUCUUUGGAGUAUGCGUAGCACCAUGGGCAAGAGCUUUAAGACCCUCAUCUUGGCUGCGCGGAAGCCAGUAUUCUGCUAGGAACCUUCAGAUGAAGACAUAGAACUCUCUGCUCCUCCUGUGCCAUGCCUGCCUGGAUGCUGUCAUGUUCCUCCCUUGAUGAUAAUGGACUGAACAUCUGAACCUGUAAACCAGCCCCAAUUAAAUGUUGUCCUUAUAAAGGUUGCCUUGGUCAUGGUGUCUAUUCAUAGCAGUAAAACCCUAAGACACUGCCCAUCAGCAAACCUCUUCUUCAUCACCACACAUCCCACUCUCCACUUCUAUUCCAUGAUAUUUUUUUUUCAGUUUACAACACAGAAAUUCUAAUACUCCUCCUCUUGUUCC